AGCGAACGCUGGCCGCAGGCCUAACACAUGCAAGUCGAACGAACCUUUCGGGGUUAGUGGCGGACGGGUGAGUAACACGUGGGAACGUGCCUUUAGGUUCGGAAUAACUCAGGGAAACUUGUGCUAAUACCGAAUGUGCCCUUCGGGGGAAAGAUUUAUCGCCUUUAGAGCGGCCCGCGUCUGAUUAGCUAGUUGGUUGAGGUAAUGGCUCACCAAGGCGACGAUCAGUAGCUGGUCUGAGAGGAUGCUCAGCCACAUUGGGACUGAGACACGGCCCAAACUCCUACGGGAGGCAGCAGUGGGGAAUCUUGCGCAAUGGGCGAAAGCCUGACGCAGCCAUGCCGCGUGAAUGAUGAAGGUCUUAGGAUUGUAAAAUUCUUUCACCGGGGACGAUAAUGACGGUACCCGGAGAAGAAGCCCCGGCUAACUUCGUG
rnacentral:rRNA from 1 species